GUUAGUUAUAAGAAUUGUGUUUUUACGUAGUAGAAUAUAUUAGAAAGGUAUGCCUUUUUUAUAAAAAUGAAUGAAGUCUAUUAGUUUGAUAUGUUGUGUAUCUUCAUUAUAAAAAAAAGUUUUUCUUUUCACAAUAAACUAAACUCUAUUCAUUUUAAGAAUUGUGUCUUUUAUGAAAAAUGAACUCUAUAUCAAUUCAAUUCUCUCGUUCGAAUGGGGAGAUAGAUAGUUUUAAGUUGUAACUUUUCAUCAUAAAAAUAAAUUAGUUUAAAAGUAGUUAAAAAUAUCUCAGUAGGUGUCUUUCUACAAUUAAUAGUUUUUAGAGUUAUGUCAUCUCAUUAUAAAAAAAACUAGUAAUAAUAAUCUGAAAUAAUGUUAGAAAUUGAGUCUUUUCAUAUAAAAAAAAUGUAUUAGUUUUAAGAAUUGUAUUUUACAUUAUUAAAAAGAUAUCUUUUUAUGAAAAACUGAACUGUAUUAUUAAUUGUAAGAGUUGUGUUUCUUCAUUAUAGAAAAAAUUAUGUCUUUUCAUACCAAAAAAAAACUGAACUCUAUUAAUAUUAAGAGUGGUGUCUUUUCAUUGUUAAAUAAAUUAGUUUAAAAAUAAUUGAAAUAUUCCAAUAAGUAUGUUUCUACAAUUAUUUAGUUUUAAAGAGUCGUAUCUUCUCAUUAUAAAAAAUAAUUUAUUUGUGUAAAACAUUUAUUUCUUUACGAAAAAUUGCAAACAAUUUUUUAUAAAAGAUUAUCUUAUAAAAUGUGAAAUAUCUAUUUUUAUAAAUGAGUUACCGUGCGACAUCGCACGGGUUCCUUGCCUAGUUUUUAUAAUAUGAGUUUCAAAUAACGCGUGAAUGAACUCUGAAAUGAACAUAAAAUACAUAUAUGACUAAAGAAGACUUUGAAGACGAAAAAACAAACAAAUGAAGACCAGGUUUUGUACGUAGAUGAUUUAGUCUCUUUCUGUUUCAAUAGUUAAGCUCAUCCACACACACGUUUACAAUUGAAGAUUAUGUAGUUUCUAAAACAAAUAUUUAAAUGCAAUUUUGUUGUUGUUGUAGUACCUUUGCUAACGAUGAAAAGAACUACUCGACAGGAGUCGCAGUACAUACUCACAUUUCUUAUCUUCGACUUCAAAAUGAGUCCUUGUUGCACGUUAUCAAAAUGCUCUUACACAUUUGAAGCCUCUAAAUUUUGAGUGUCUGAUGGGUACAUAUGGAGAAUAUAGGUCCAUUCCUAGAUUAUACUAUUAAUAACGUUUCUUCUUCCUCUUGAAAUAGGUACAUCUUAUAAGUCCAUGUUUAAACUGAAGUUAUAAAGAACUCUUAGGUCAUGAAUGAUUAAUAAAGAGAGAAGUCAUAUUGUCGCAGCAAACUACAAAACAUCCACGAUUGAUAGACGGCAGCUCUCAUGCUGUAUCUCCCACUGCUUUGGCCUUGCUAAUGAGAGAAAACUUAGUCAAAGAUAAAUUUGAAAUGAAAUAGCUCAUAAGAGUAGCUUUAUUGUGCAAAACAUAAAUUAAGAACAUAGAAAAGCUUAAGCUUGUUUUCAGGAAAAAAAGACACGAUUUUAUUACACAUAGGUGAAGGAGUAGCUGCUAUAGAGGCAGCCAAAGUUACUUUCUUCAUCACAUUACAAUCAUAUUUAUACUAAUGUUCAACUUGCAAAAGAAACUUUUUUUUUGUCACUAAUUAACUUCAUUAAAAACUAAAAGUAAAGAAUAAGCCCCGAGAGGCCCAGGCCUAAUAGGUUUGUUACAAUGGAAAAGAAGUUCGAAGAGUCUCUUUCGCUAAUGCAUCAGCCUCAGCGUUCAGAGAUCGAGAGAAAUGCGAAAACAAAAUUGAUGCAAGGUAAGUAGAUAUCGAACGGAUGUCUUUCACAAUCCCGAUGAUUUCCUUAGCCUGAGUGAUGCCGGAGAUUGCUCGUACGAGCGUUAGAUUGUCGGAGAACACAUCGAGAGCGGUGAUAUCAAGAGUGAUCGCCAUGCAGAGGGCUGAUCUAAUUGCGGAGGCUUCUGCGAUUAGGGGUUAUCCAAUCGAGCGUUCAAUCACUGAUCCUUUGAUUGGGAACUUGAGCUUUUGGCCUGAGAAAAUUCAAGCCAAACCCGCCAUCAGAUUGUCCUUGUUCCAAGCCGCAUCCGUCUUGCAGGUUACUCGAUUUUCAUCUGCAACCCCUCGAAAAGAAUCUCGCGUUUGGCUACGGUCAGUAUGAGAUAAGUUGCUUCCUUUUUUGACUUGUGCUUGCGACGUUGACCAUUCUCUUGCUAACUUGAUUCCCCUCAAUGCUGUUUCCUCAGGAGUUUAAUAUCGACCAUCAAAGAUCAAGGUGUUCAUGGACUUCCAGAUAGACCACACUAUCCAAGGGAGGAUGUUUUGAGUAAUACCUGAGGGUGGGAGACAAAAGACUUUCCUGAAUUGGACUACCGCAUCUGAGAAAGUUGUGACUGCAGCUAGGUGAACUGCUCUGUGGAGGGGUAUGAGUUCCCAUACAUUCUGUGCAUACUGACAGAUUCGAUCCAAGAGAGAUAGCUUUCUGGAGGAUCGACCAUAAGAAAGUUUUCAUCUUUGGUGAGAAUUUUCCUGCCCAAACAUCUCUAAUCCAACUGAAUUCACCUUCUGCUCUUGCUAAACUUGUUUGAUUUAGGGACAUACUUGCAGCAAAGUAACCAGAUUUUGUGGUGUACAGGCCCGAUGAAGUCUGGUGCCAGAUAAACGAGUCUUCCGCACCUGUUGAGCUUGGUUUGAUACAUAGAAUCUGCAUUGAAAGAUUGGGUAAGAGUUCCUCGAUUCUUUGCUUGUUCCAUUUUAGCUCAGAAGUUAGAAGAUCUGCCACUGUGAGGUCUAGGGCUUCUUCCUUGAUAGGUCCCAUAGGCUUCAAUACUCUAUCCAGUGAGAUCCAUGAGUCCUUCCAGAGUCUGAUAGUUUGGCCAUUUCCUAUAGACUUUCCCAAAUUCUCUUUUAAUAGAUGAAAAUGCUUCUCCACCCAUGAAAGCAAUUCUUUGUUGGUUCAAUCUCUAGGAAGCUCUUGUUUUUACAAUAUUUUGCCACUAGAAUUCUACUUGCAAAAGAAACCUAGCACAUGAAUUUAUAUCAUCAUGUUGAGCUUGUUGGUAUUGUCUUGAACUUAAGCAGCUUGUUUAACUGAAAUAAUAGUAAAUUUUCAAAUUCGCCUAAAAUCGCCUAAAAUCACUAAAAUCAAAUUAAAAUCACUAAAAUCAAAUUAUUUCAAAUUUAAGAUUGAACCACUACUAUAUUUUUGAUUUAUGAAAUCUCGAAAGCGUUUAAAAGUUCAUUAGUAGGUUUUUGAUAAUCACAUUAACAUAUCUCUGGCUUAUACAAAGCAAAAUUUUUCAUACUGUUUCACGUAUCCAAAAAGGAAUAAAAUGUAUGGUUAGUUUAACGACUAUAAUAUAGACAACUGCCUUACAAUAAUACUUCUUCCAAGAUAUCAUUAAUUAGUAUAACGAUUUAUAUAUUUGAACAAAAAACGACUAUAUAUAUAGACAACUGCCUUACAAUAAUACUUCUUCCAUAAUUUUAGUCUUUUAGAUAUCAGAUGUCAAAGAGCAUGAACGUCGUUAUCUAGAGAUGUAUUUUUCAUUUUUCAAUGUGAACAAAAGAUAAGGACAAUCGUACGGUACAUAUAUGAAUAAACAUAAAAAAUGAGCACAAGUGUUUUCACUGACUUUUUUCAAUGUUUUCUGAUGGAGAAAAGAAAAGAAAUGGGCAGUCGAGAAAAGAAUCAAAACAUCGAGCCAGUCGGCCAUUAAUUUUGUUCUUAUCAUCUUCACUUAAAGUACAUAGUAUAAGGUUCAUACCAUAUUAAAUUAUAAGAACAUAUAUGACGCAUUAGACUGCAUUUGGGACUGCGGCUAGAGACGGCGGCUCCCUCCCACCAAAUUGACGAUCGCGUGGAGAUUUACUUGGAAGUACUUCAAUCUUCUUUAUCUUGCGAAUGUGAAACGUUUCUUCUUCUAGAAAGUUUCAAGUAUGAAUAUAAGAAUUAUAUAACAGUAGAAAUAACAUACAUGUAAAUGUAGCAAAUAUGUUAUAUGAUAAUAUGAAGCUUUUUACUCUCUUUUUGAAGUUUCAUUAGUAGUAACCUAAUAACUUCUCAUCAUGCAUAGAGGAAAGAGGAUAAAAGUAUUAAUAAUACUUACUGGAGUUGUAUAACUGAGUUAUAACGACGUAUGAUGAAAUUGCCAAAGAAAGAAUCAAAAGCGAAACAAUCAAACAUAACCUUCCCUUCAUCCUUCUGGUGAUACGUUCAAUCAGAUAUGCAACUUCAGGGUUUUAUCAUAAAGUUUGCAGGUCUUUAUACAUAAACGUAUAUAGUACAGAACUGAUAUAAACAUAAAGUCAAUAUCUAUGUUUGCGAGGAAGAGGUUAGACUAUAUGCACGCUUUUUGGUUCAAGCAAAAGUUUACUAUUUUUUAAUUUAAUUAUCCAUCAAAUUUUUGCAAGUUGAUUAAAAGCAGCAUGCAUGAAAUCUCUUAUGAUUAUUAAAAUAAAAUAAUAAUAAACAGAGAGAGAAAAUUGGUAAGAGAUUUUUUUGAAAAGUUUUUCAAAUGAUUAAGAUACUAUACCGUCAAUUGCUCUAUUUCUAUUAAUUAAUUAAUUUAUUUAAAAUUUUAGUUUUUUUUUUUUUUUUUGACGUCGAACGGCCAUUCUAUUACUCAAGCUUGAGGUGGUCUGGGUAACCAGACCGGAAUAGAACAACCAAUAAAAAGUAACUCUCUCCGAAAUGUCCUAGCAGUCUUAGCUAAAAAGUCCGAAAACUGAUUGCGCACUCGUGGAACAUGUAUGAUUUUGAAGUCCGGAAAGCAAAUCUGCAGCGUCUCUAUCUUCUCCAAUUCUGUCGCAAAUUUUGACCAUUUUUGGGGUUCAUUUAUCAUAGCAAUCAGCUCCUUGCAGUCUGUUCCAAAACUCUGACAUGUCAUUUAAAAUUUUAGUUACAAAAUAAAACUAUAUUAAUACUAUAUUUGUGAGAUACGUUAAAUGGGUAUAUACAGAUUCUGAUGCUCUAAGUUUUAGAAUUAAUUAAUUUCAUAAUAACGAUUGUUUUAUUCCAGCUAAUCUAAAAUAAUGGAGUACUAUUGAAGCAUAUAUGCAAGUCAAACAAAAAUGUUUUUUUCCAAGCAAUGUACUAAUAUGCCUUGGUUGGUCCGUCCAACGACCCUAACCGACGUUUGGGGAACCUCCUCCUCAUACGGAUUCUGAGCCUUGGCCCCCACGCUUCGACACACUUCCUGGUGUUUCGAUCUUCUUUGUUUUGUGAAUAUGAAUCAUUUCUCUUAUUUCGUCUUACACAAAAUUAAUGUAAGAAAUUAUAUGUUAGUACAUUCCUUAGCUUACUUUUUUUUUUGUAAUUUUAUCAUCAACUUUGGUGCGAUAACUGUUCUAAUGAACUUAUGGUGAUAUCGUAUAUAGAUUCCUUAAGGUCUUUGGCUACCGCAUACAUUGAAAAACAUAAAGCAACUCGGAUGGUAAAUAUUGUAGUACUCACUGAUUUUGCGAGUUUAUAUGGCUGAACUAAGAUCAUCUUAAGUGAAAACAACAAAGAGAAACCAAAAGUGAAGCAAUAAACCACAACUUUCUCUUCAUUUUUGUUUUUGUUUUCUAUUGUAUUGUUUAUGUUUUGUUUGUAUGGCAUACACGUGUGUAUUUCUUUUAAAUCAAACAUAUAUAAUUAGAAAUUUCCUUUUAUGUUAUUAUAUGAAAGCUUUUAUACGAUA